UCCGAGUCUCAGGGCGGGGUGAAAUUCCCCACCGGUGGUUACAGUCCACGAGCGCGGGACGGGUUUAAAACAUCCGUCCCGGUCAGCAGAAUCGGUGCAAUUCCGAUACCGACGGUUAAAGUCCGGAAGAAAGAGCAAUAGCU
rfam:Sutterella sp. CAG:521 genomic scaffold, scf78